GAUGAACGCUGGCGGCGUGCCUAAUACAUGCAAGUCGAGCGAACAGACGAGGAGCUUGCUCCUCUGAUGUUAGCGGCGGACGGGUGAGUAACACGUGGAUAACCUACCUAUAAGACUGGGAUCACUUCGGGAAACCGGAGCUAAUACCGGAUAACAUGUUGAACCGCAUGGUUCAACAGUGAAAGACGGUCUUGCUGUCACUUAUAGAUGGAUCCGCGCCGCAUUAGCUAGUUGGUAAGGUAACGGCUUACCAAGGCAACGAUGCGUAGCCGACCUGAGAGGGUGAUCGGCCACACGGGAAGUGGGACACGGUCCAGACGCCUACGGGAGGCAGCAGUAGGGAAUGUUCCGCAAUGGGCGAAAGCCUGACGGAGCAACGCCGCGUGAGUGAAGAAGGUCUUCGGAUCGUAAAGCUGCGUUAUUAGGGAAGAACAAAUGUGUAAGUAACUAUGCACGGCUUGACGGUACCUAAUCAGAAAGCCACGGCUAACUACGUG
rnacentral:rRNA from 1 species